rnacentral:lncRNA from 1 species
GCAUACAACAGAAAAAUGCCUACAAGUAAUAUGAUAAAAUUAAAGUCACCGGAAUGUCCAUGCUCCGGAUCUGCAACGUUGACGUCCAAAUCAUUGAUUGAAUGUGCAAUUGAUUGAAGUUGAUCUUUCAAUAUGACUUAAACAAACACCGUAACACGACGGAUAAUCCAAAACGCCGCACCAAUCGGACGACGAUCAACACACUGCCGCACUUAGACGACUAAAAUAAC